rnacentral:rRNA from 1 species
AACGAACGCUGGCGGCAUGCCUAACACAUGCAAGUCGAACGAGACCUUCGGGUCUAGUGGCGCCCGGGUGCGUAACGCGUGGGAACCUGCCCUUAGGUUCGGAAUAACUCCCCGACAGGGGUGCUAAUACCGGAUAAUGUCUUCGGACCAAAGAUUUAUCGCCUUUGGAUGGGCCCGCGUUGGAUUAGCUAGUUGGUAGGGUAAAAGCCUACGAAGGCGACGAUCCAUAACUGGUCUGAGAGGAUGAUCAGCCACACUGGGACUGAGACACGGCCCAGACUCCUACGGGAGGGAGCAGUGGGGAAUAGUGGAAAGUGGGCGAAAGCAUGAUCCAGCAAGGCCGGGUGAGUGAUGAAGGCAGUAGGGUUGUAAAGCGCUUUUAACCGGGAUGAUAUUGACAGUACCGGGAGAAUAAGCCCCGGCUAACUACGUG